GAUGAACGCUGGCGGCGUGCUUAACACAUGCAAGUCGAACGGGAAUUAUUUUAUUGAAACUUCGGUCGAUUUAAUUUAAUUCUAGUGGCGGACGGGUGAGUAACGCGUGGGUAACCUGCCUUAUACAGGGGGAUAACAGUCAGAAAUGGCUGCUAAUACCGCAUAAGCGCACAGAGCUGCAUGGCUCAGUGUGAAAAACUCCGGUGGUAUAAGAUGGACCCGCGUUGGAUUAGCUUGUUGGCAGGGUAACGGCCUACCAAGGCGACGAUCCAUAGCCGGCCUGAGAGGGUGAGCGGCCACAUUGGGACUGAGACACGGCCCAGACUCCUACGGGAGGCAGCAGUGGGGAAUAUUGCACAAUGGGGGAAACCCUGAUGCAGCGACGCCGCGUGAAGGAAGAAGUAUCUCGGGAUGUAAACUUCUAUCAGCAGGGAAGAUAGUGACGGUACCUGACCAAGAAGCCCCGGCUAACUACGUG
rnacentral:rRNA from 1 species